rnacentral:tRNA from 1 species
GGAGGGUAUAGCUCAGUGGUAGAGUGUGUGCUUAGCAUGCACAAGGUCUUGGGUUCAAUCCCCAGUUCCUCCA